rnacentral:rRNA from 1 species
UGCAAGUCGAACGAACCCUUCGGGGUUAGUGGCGCACGGGUGCGUAACGCGUGGGAAUCUGCCCUUUGCUUCGGAAUAACAGUUAGAAAUGACUGCUAAUACCGGAUGAUGUCUUCGGACCAAAGAUUUAUCGGCAAGGGAUGAGCCCGCGUAGGAUUAGGUAGUUGGUGGGGUAAAGGCCUACCAAGCCGACGAUCCUUAGCUGGUCUGAGAGGAUGAUCAGCCACACUGGGACUGAGACACGGCCCAGACUCCUACGGGAGGCAGCAGUGGGGAAUAUUGGACAAUGGGCGCAAGCCUGAUCCAGCAAUGCCGCGUGAGUGAUGAAGGCCUUCGGGUCGUAAAGCUCUUUUACCAGGGAUGAUAAUGACAGUACCUGGAGAAUAAGCUCCGGCUAACUCCGUGCCAGCAGCCGCGGUAAUACGGAGGGAGCUAGCGUUGUUCGGAAUUACUGGGCGUAAAGCGCACGUAGGCGGCGACACAAGUCAGAGGUGAAAGCCCGGGGCUCAACCCCGGAACUGCCUUUGAAACUAGGUUGCUAGAAUCUUGGAGAGGUCAGUGGAAUUCCGAGUGUAGAGGUGAAUUCGUAGAUAUUCGGAAGACACCAGUGGCGAAGGCGACUGACUGGACAAGUAUUGACGCUGAG